GAUGAACGCUAGCUACAGGCUUAACACAUGCAAGUCGCGGGGCAGCAUGGGGGUUGCUUGCAAUCCCCGAUGGCGACCGGCGCACGGGUGAGUAACGCGUAUCCAACCUGCCCUUCACCACGGGAUAACCCGGCGAAAGUCGGACUAAUACCGUAUGUUGUCCAUUGACGGCAUCCGAUUUGGACGAAAGGCUUGGCGGUGAGGGAUGGGGAUGCGUCCGAUUAGCCAGACGGCGGGGUAACGGCCCACCGUGGCUACGAUCGGUAGGGGUUCUGAGAGGAAGGUCCCCCACACUGGAACUGAGACACGGUCCAGACUCCUACGGGAGGCAGCAGUGAGGAAUAUUGGUCGAUGGGCGUAAGCCUGAACCAGCCAAGUAGCGUGCAGGAUGACGGCCCUAUGGGUUGUAAACUGCUUUUAUGCGGGGAUAAAGUGGCCCACGUGUGGGCUUUUGCAGGUACCGCAUGAAUAAGGACCGGCUAAUUCCGUG
rnacentral:rRNA from 1 species